rnacentral:rRNA from 1 species
UACGAGGGGGCAAGCGUUGUUCGGAAUUAUUGGGCGUAAAGGGUGCGUAGGCGGUUUGUAAGUCUUGUGUGAAAUCUUCAGGCUCAACUUGAAGACUGCACGAGAAACUGCAGGGCUUGAGUGUGGGAGAGGUGAGUGGAAUUCCUGGUGUAGCGGUGAAAUGCGCAGAUAUCAGGAGGAACACCGGUGGUGUAGACGGCUU